GCAGGCGCGUAAAUUACCCAAUCCUGAUACAGGGAGGUAGUGACAAUAAAUAACAAUGCCGGGCAUGAACUUGUCUGGCAAUUGGAAUGAGAACAAUUUAAAUCCCUUAUCGAGGAUCAAUUGGAGGGCAAGUCUGGUGCCAGCAGCCGCGGUAAUUCCAGCUCCAAUAGCGUAUAUUAAAGUUGUUGCAGUUAAAAAGCUCGUAGUUGGAUUUCUGGUAGGAGGGAUCGGUCAUUCACUUAGUGUUUGUACUUGUAUCCUCUCCGGCCAUCCUUGGGUGGAUCCUUUCUGGUAUUAGUUUAUCGGAAUGGCAAUACCCAUCAUUUACUGUGAAAAAAUUAGAGUGUUCAAAGCAGGCUUAUGCCAUUGAAUAUAUUAGCAUGGAAUAACAAUAUAGGGUCUUGGUUCUAUUUUGUUGGUUUGCGUACCGAGAUAAUGACUAAAAGGGACAGUUGGGGGUAUUUGUAUUCAGUAUUCAGUGGUGAAAUACUUAGAUCUACGGAAGACAAACUACUGCGAAAGCAUUUACCAGGGAUGUUUUCAUUAAUCAAGAACGAAAGUAUGGGGAUCGAAGAUGAUCAGAUACCAUCGUAGUCUAUACCAUAAACCAUGCCGACUCAGGAUGGGCAGGGUGUUUAUAACCCUGUCUGCACUGUAUGAGAAAUCAAAGUCUUUGGGUUCCGGGGGGAGUAUGGUC
rnacentral:rRNA from 1 species